GUGGCCUGCCUUUAAGAAGGCAUUCACUGCCUACCUCUGAGAGAUAGAAGAGGAAGGGCAUUUCUAUACAAGACAAUUUGAAGACUUCAGAGAGCGCUGGGGGAUCUCUUUGACUCUUGGCAGUGAACAGACUAAACUGAGAAGUACAGAAGUGUGAAAAAAAUUGGGAACUUUCUUCUCGUCCUUUUAUCCUUCAGAAAUCUGACUAUCUGCAAAAACAGAAGAAAAAUCAAA
rnacentral:lncRNA from 1 species